UACAGAGGUCUCAAGCGUUGUUCGGAUUCAUUGGGCGUAAAGGGUGCGUAGGCGGCGCGGUAAGUCGGGUGUGGAAUCUCGGGGCUUAACUCCGAAACUGCAUUCGAUACUGCCGUGCUUGAGGACUGGAGAGGAGACUGGAAUUCAUGGUGUAGCAGUGAAAUGCGUAGAGAUCAUGAGGAAGACCAGUGGCGAAGGCGGGUCUCUGGACAGUUCCUGACGCUGAGGCACGAAGGCCAGGGGAGCAAACGGG
rnacentral:rRNA from 1 species